rnacentral:rRNA from 1 species
CCUACGGGUGUCAGCAGUGAGGAAUAUUGGUCAAUGGGCGCGAGCCUGAACCAGCCAAGCAGCGUGAAGGAUGACUGCCCUACGGGUUGUAAACUUCUUUUAUAAAGGAAUAAAGUGCGGCACGUGUGCCCUUUUGUAUGUACUUUAUGAAUAAGGAUCGGCUAACUCCGUGCCAGCAGCCGCGGUAAUCCGGAGGAUCCGAGCGUUAUCCGGAUUUAUUGGGUUUAAAGGGAGCGUAGGUGGUUUGUUAAGUCAGUGGUGAAAGUUUGGGGCUCAACCGUAAAAAUGCAAUUGAAACUGGCAGCCUUGAGAACAGUUGAGGUAGGCGGAAUGCGUGGUGUAGCGGUGAAAUGCUUAGAUAUCACGAAGAACUCCGAUUGCGAAGGCAGCUUACUAAACUGCAACUGACAUUGAUGCUCGAAAGUGUGGGUAUCAAACAGGAUUAGAUACCCCAGUAGUC